GUGUUUUUCUGCAACUGAAAAACUCCUCUGUAGCUCAAAAAUGAGCUUUUUAAGACUGAAACACA
rnacentral:snoRNA from 1 species